rnacentral:rRNA from 1 species
UACGUAGGGGGCAAGCGUUGUCCGGAAUCAUUGGGCGUAAAGCGCGCGUAGGCGGCCCGGUAAGUCCGUUGUAAAAGUCAAAGGCUCAACCUUUGAACGCCGAUGGAUACUGCCGGGCUAGAGUCCGGAAGAGGCGAGUGGAAUUCCUGGUGUAGCGGUGGAAUGCGCAGAUAUCAGGAGGAACACCAAUAGCGAAGGCAGCUCGCUGGGACGGUACUGACGCUGAGGCGCGAAAGCGUGGGGAGCGAACAGG